CCCUUACAUGGAUUACUUUAAAAAAUUAAAAAAAUCGACAUGACCCGUAUUGUAAAUCUAGAAAAAUUUGGCAUGACCCGUGCUAUAAACCUAGCGAAUUGGUCUACCCGACAAUGAUACCUGCAUAAAACUGACCCACCCACAUAUACCCCCUCGGCGCGAUGGCCGGCCCCCUAAAUUUCAACGGCCUCGGCACGAUGGCCGAGCCCACAUCCUGCAUAUGCCACAAAAUGCAUAUUUAAGACAUUUGAUAUUUGCUACUCAAGGAUAUUUGCUCAAGGAUAUUUAAGACAAAAUCCUAACCCUAACUUCUAUCAAGCAUGUUUCUAACCUAAUUUGAACCCUAACCCUAACAAUAUGAAUUUCUAACCUAAUUUUACCUAACCCUAACCCUAAUCCCUAAUUGCUAACAAUAUGAAUUUCUAACCUAAUUUUACCCUAACCCUAACCCUAACCCUAAUCCCUAAUUGCUAACAAUAUGAAUUUCUAACCUAAUUUUACCCUAACCCUAACCCUAAUCCCUAAUUGCAGCAAAACUAAGAAUCAAAGAUGAAAAAUUUACCCUAAUAGUAAACUUAAAAAAAAAUCCUAACCCUAGC
rnacentral:lncRNA from 1 species